rnacentral:rRNA from 1 species
CCCUUAGAUGUUCUGGGCUGCACGCGCGCUACACUGACGUACGCAACGAGUGCCCUUUACCGAGAGGUAUGGGUAAUCAUUUGAGUGUACGUCGUGAUGGGGAUAGAAUAUUGUAAUUAUUACUCUUCAACGAGGAAUUCCUAGUAAGCGCAAGUCAGCAGCUUGCGCUGAUUACGUCCCUGCCCUUUGUACACACCGCCCGUCGCUCCUACCGAUGGGUGAUCCGGUGAAUGAUUCGGACUCGGUUGCCUCUAGCCACUAGUGGCGCUCGAGAAAGUUUUGUGAACCUUAUCACUUGGAGGAAGGAGAAGUCGUAACA